rnacentral:lncRNA from 1 species
UUUUUUUUUUUUAGAAUUUGGAAGUUUAAAAACGUGCAUAUAAAAAUGGGCAUUUAUAACCUCUUUUUGUUGAACGUGGGUUGAUUGCGGUCUGCUAAUAAAAAUGGGGUGUGGGAUUUGAAGGAAAGGAAGUUUUUUUUUUUUUUUGCUUUAAGGCUUGCUUGUGAUAGGAACAGUUAUAAACACAAAAAAAAAAAAAAUUGCUCAAAGCAGGGAUCUGCUUAGUGUUUCACAGUCGGACUGUUUCUUUAAGAAGCCCCCCUCCCGCCCCCUCCCGUCCUGCAUGUGCAUUCAAAGUCACAAACGUUCAAUGACUGAAUAUCUAACACACUGCAACAAGUGCAGCACCAACUUUGGUCAAAUAAAAAAAACCAACAACAAAAAAAAACAACAACACAUCAACAAUAAUAAAACUCAAAAUAAAAAUCUAGUAAAUUUGCUAAGCUUUAGCUACAUGAAUAUAAGCAGGUAUUGCAUAUGUUCAUUGAUCAGGGAAAACAAAUAAAAAAUAUGAUAAAAGGAAGACUCAAAAUAAAAUUUCACAAUGCAGCAAAAAAUGUCCCCAAAAUACUGAUCUCCUACGCGUAAAUAGCACAGAAACUACAAAACUAAGCACACUACUCCUAUUGGUGGGAUACAACUAAAAUAUUUACCUACAUGGUGAAGCCUGCAAUGUCAUAUAUGAGUAACAUUUACAAGAAAAUUAAAAGAAAAAAGUGUCUCCAUAAUGAGUGACUCUAUCUAUGGAGGAACAUGUGCAACAAUUCCACAAAUAAUCGCUAUCCAGGGCAAGGCACAUCAAUAUGGAAUUAUAUUCAUCUACGUGCAAAUUAACUCCAUGAGACGCAGGGGCAAUGCACUGUAUUGCUUUGCUAUAACAUUACAGCCCCCCACGGCACCCCAAAAGUGUUCAGAGGAAAAUUAAAAAAAAAAUAAUUUUAUAAUAUCUAACAGAAAAAAAACCUUUACAAAUGCUAAAAGGGGGAGAGAUGAGGAGCAAAGUUUCUUCUCAACAGUUUAAUUUACUUGAUUGUAUAGGACAGUAGCCAAAGUUCUUUACUAGGACCAUACAGAGUUUAACUCCUUCACUGCCAAAAGGACAAGCUGUCCUUACAUUGGCUGCAUGGUGGGGGGAAGGGGGGUAUAAAAAGACAAAGGCCUGGAAUAGGAAUUAAAAUGUUUUGUCUUAAUGCACUCUACUAUAUCCUACUUUAUGUAUAUAAAAAUCAGGUACUACCACUAGAACAUGCAGAAACAUUUUGUCCUGAUUGGCAGGGUUUGCCAAACGGAAAGUAUAUAAUAUAUGUAUAAUAUAGGAACCUUUCUUGAAGUUGCAUGCGAAGCAAAGGAACGCUCCGCUGUCUGGUAGAGAAAAAAAAAAUCACUUGUUUUUAUGUUUAUUUUGUGUUUUUUUCUUUUUUAAGUUUUUUUUUGUCUUUUUAAUUAUUAUUAUUGUUUUUUUUUUUUUAAGUAUACACCAUAUAUGACGUUUAUGACCCAAUUGUAUUUUGCUCAGCAAGUGCUUUGAGACCCCAGAUUGAUCAGUGUUUCCAGUCCGAGACACAAGUAAUCAAAUCACAUAGAUAUCAUCUGGACAACUGUAUAAAUGCUGAGGUGCCUGAAAAAAAAGAUCCCCUUUUCUGGGAACGUAGCAUUUGUCUGAAUUGGCAUACUUUACUAAUAGUGACUUUAGCUUAUAAAAUUAAAAGAUAAUAUGAUUUUUCCAUUUUAGUUAUGUGCUUUGAUAACAGAAAAAAAAUGAUUACUUAGCAUUUAAUGUAGUUAACAUAUUGUGGUAAAGCACCAUUAUGUUUUAUAUUUAUAUAUAUAUAUUUUUUUACAUUUUGUUUUAGUUCUUAAGGGAUACAAGUUCAACAAUAAAAAAAACAUAAAAAGCAAAAAUAGCUCCCCUUUCUUUUGCAAGGCUGUUUUUUACCCUUAUAAUUUAGAGUCCUGGGGUGGUAGGACUUUGAAAACAAAAAUAGAAUUUUCAACAAUCUCUAUCUUACAAAGAUAUUUACCUAUCCAAUGAAAUUGCACUUUACUCAAUCCAAAUACGAUUGUUUCAAUUGAUUCCUGUCAGUUUCUGUCAAAACAGACCAUCUUCCCCAUUGCUGUGUGUCUGUUGAAUUGUUGAAAAUUUGUUUCAGAAAAGCUUGUUUCUUAAGUGCAGCAUUUUGUUUGUUUUGUGAAUACUGUAGUUAUAGAAGUUCUUGACAAUGCUCUGCAACUCGAAUGGAUUUACAACAGUUUCCUCAAAGAUCAUGGAUGUGACUACUCCUUGUCAGAAAGGAAGGGCGUCCAUAUUGCAUUUGAUAUGUCACACAACACAAAUCGUCCUGGAUUCAUUCAAACAGAUAACUUCUGAAGGGGGUGAGGAGAUCACAAUAAUAAAAAUAAAUAAAUAAAAAACAGGGAUUUAAAAUAAAAUAAAAUACAAAUUAUGUUUCUUCCCUAGUUGGUGAAGCCAUUUCCAAAACAUUAUACUUAAAAUGUCAACAAUACAACAUGGAGGAUAUUGUAUAACAGUAUAUCUGUUUUAUGCAUUAUUGUUUUUGCAUUAAAAAAUAUUUUUUUUAAGGGGGGGGGACACAAAUUGAAAAGUGUCAUGGCAAUAUAAGUUGCAGCUAUAGUUAUUUUAAAUAUAGGAACAUCCCUCAUGUACCAUAAAUUUACUGAUGAUGUUAAAGGCUUACAGGUAAAUGUAUUCCGAAAAGAGUUGUGUAAAAUAUGGAUGAAAAUGUAAAUGUGUAAAAG